rnacentral:rRNA from 1 species
AUCCGCACGAGCGCACCCUUAUCCUUAGUUGCCAGCACGUAAUGGUGGGAACUCUAAGGAGACUGCCGGUGACAAACCGGAGGAAGGUGGGGACGACGUCAAGUCAUCAUGGCCCUUACGAGAUGGGCUACACACGUGCUACAAUGGCAAGUACAAAGGGUUGCAAACUCGCGAGAGUAAGCGGAUCCCAUAAAGCUUGUCGUAGUCCGGAUUGGAGUCUGCAACUCGACUCCAUGAAGUCGGGAUCGCUAGUAAUCGUGGAUCAGAAUGCCACGGUGAAUACGUUCCCGGGCCUUGUACACACCGCCCGUCACACCAUGGGAGUGGGCUGCAAAAGAAGUGGGUAGCUUAACCUUCGGGAGGGCGUUCACCACUUUGUGGUUCAUGACUGGGGUGAAGUCGUAACAAGGUAGCCGUAGGGGAACCUGCGGCUGGAUCACCUCCUU